GACGGGUGAGUAAUGCCUAGGAAUCUGCCUGGUAGUGGGGGACAACGUUUCGAAAGGAACGCUAAUACCGCAUACGUCCUACGGGAGAAAGCAGGGGACCUUCGGGCCUUGCGCUAUCAGAUGAGCCUAGGUCGGAUUAGCUUGUUGGUGAGGUAAUGGCUCACCAAGGCGACGAUCCGUAACUGGUCUGAGAGGAUGAUCAGUCACACUGGAACUGAGACACGGUCCAGACUCCUACGGGAGGCAGCAGUGGGGAAUAUUGGACAAUGGGCGAAAGCCUGAUCCAGCCAUGCCGCGUGUGUGAAGAAGGUCUUCGGAUUGUAAAGCACUUUAAGUUGGGAGGAAGGGUUGUAGAUUAAUACUCUGCAAUUUUGACGUUACCGACAGAAUAAGCACCGGCUAACUCUGUGCCAGCAGCCGCGGUAAUACAGAGGGUGCAAGCGUUAAUCGGAAUUACUGGGCGUAAAGCGCGCGUAGGUGGUUUGUUAAGUUGGAUGUGAAAGCCCCGGGCUCAACCUGGGAACUGCAUCCAAAACUGGCAAGCUAGAGUACGGUAGAGGGUGGUGGAAUUUCCUGUGUAGCGGUGAAAUGCGUAGAUAUAGGAAGGAACACCAGUGGCGAAGGCGACCACCUGGACUGAUACUGACACUGAGGUGCGAAAGCGUGGGGAGCAAACAGGAUUAGAUACCCUGGUAGUCCACGCCGUAAACGAUGUCAACU
rnacentral:rRNA from 1 species